AACGAACGCUGGCGGCAUGCCUAACACAUGCAAGUCGAACGAGACCUUCGGGUCUAGUGGCGCACGGGUGCGUAACGCGUGGGAAUCUGCCCUUAGGUUCGGAAUAACUUCGGGAAACUGAAGCUAAUACCGGAUGAUGACGUAAGUCCAAAGAUUUAUCGCCUAAGGAUGAGCCCGCGUUGGAUUAGCUAGUUGGUGAGGUAAAGGCUCACCAAGGCGACGAUCCAUAGCUGGUCUGAGAGGAUGAUCAGCCACACUGGGACUGAGACACGGCCCAGACUCCUACGGGAGGCAGCAGUGGGGAAUAUUGGACAAUGGGCGAAAGCCUGAUCCAGCAAUGCCGCGUGAGUGAUGAAGGCCUUAGGGUUGUAAAGCUCUUUUACCCGGGAUGAUAAUGACAGUACCGGGAGAAUAAGCUCCGGCUAACUCCGUGCCAGCAGCCGCGGUAAUGUCACAUGUG
rnacentral:rRNA from 1 species